CGCAGCCUACCCAGCAUGCAGCGCUCCACUAAGGCACUGAAAAAUUGCAGUCAGAUUUCUCGGCUCCCAGAGCAUCAAAGCAGCUGCUCUGCUGAGCUAGAACCAGACACUGUGCUGUUCUGACACUGCCAGCCUUUGGCUCGUCUCACCUGAUUGUUUUUUUCCCCUGGAGGAUCAAACCAAGCACAAAUGUUUCACUGUUUCCGUAAACCUACUGAGAAAAAGAAAUGCACCCAUGCGCCACGCUCUUUUCUUCACGAACAAUGGAGGAAAGGAAAAGAAAAAAAUGGUUUUGGUUGCUGAACCUCUAUCUUAAGGCCUGCACAUUAGUCAAGCAAAUAAUUAACUCAGAACUCUGCAGUGUACCAAAGCAUUGUGGGGUAUCCAUCCUAUAAUUGAAAUUCACUCAUAACAGCUACAUUUACUGCAAAUCAGUGUUUCACUUCUGUAGAACAUUUUCAUUUUCUGGUGUGCGUAUUGUACCUCAAGUCGGGAAAUGAUAAAAUCCUAAGUGCUUUGCAGACAAUUUGUAUUCAGCACCAGCUUUUUCUGUUUGUUUGGGUUUUUUCGCCCUACCUUUACAAGUAUAACUAGUGCAAAAUAGGUGGUAAUAUGUAACAUAUAUAUACAUUAGAAAAUGGAAAACACAACACUGAAAAGUGGUAAUGAAGCAUAAUAAUACACUUUUAAGGAAACCUGUUCACAAAGAGUUGUGGAUAAUAGCAAAGGCUCAUAAAGCUGAUUGUUAUACUGCUACCUUUUUCAGUUAUUGUGUGUACUUAGGAGGAUUAGCUUCAAUGCGAGCUCUCGUUUAUUAUGGCCAUUAAGAAGUGAUUGAAUUAUUUGCAAAUGCCAGGAAGUGACUCUCCAAGCUAGAAACUAAUGAAGGUCUCACUGAAAGGAGAUGUCAUACACAGACCAGAAAAAGGUGCUUACAUCCCCUCUAUAAAGUUGAGAUAGCUGGAAAGUAACUGGAGACUUCAUGUUUAUUGAAUAUCAAAGUUAAACUUACAAUCUGUGUGAUUAUACAGUGAAUGAAUACUGAAAUGGCAAAGAUUUGUAGAAAAAUAAGUGGGGUUUUUUUUCUGCCUGUCCCGUUUGGCUCUUUUGCCAUCAGAAUUGUUGUCUAAAGGCAAAGAAAGAUGCCCAACGGAUUUACUUUACCAAACUGACCAUCCCAGCCUUGCCGUAAUGGUCCAUUUGAUUCACCUUUUAUUGUUUAUUUUAUUUUCACUUGCUGAAUACGGGACAGACUUGACUGGGGGAAAGAAGGGGAGAAAGAAAGAGGGAAAGAAAAACAGCUGAGAAGAGGGACGGGGGAGAAGGGCAAAAGACAAAAACCAACAGAAUGGGCAGAGAAAAAAAAAGAAAAAAAAGAAAAUGCAUAUAUCAAUCACCUGGAUCACCUGCUGAGAAAAAAAAAAGAAAACAAGCAGAAGAGAACAAGAGUAAUAGAAUAAACAGCAUCACAAUGAUAUAUGAGAAUAUGACAGUAAAUACUAAAUAUUAAACAUUAUUGUGCAGCACAUAAGAUCAACAGAACACAGUGUGCUUUGAGGUAGGAGCCAAAAAGGGUGUAGUUUGUGGGUGUGAUCACCCGUGUGUACACCUGUGAGCAUGGACGCGCUUGUUUUUUUAAAAGGUUCCUUCGUGUAAUGAUCUGCUAGAGGGUAAAGAGAAAAAAUAAUAAGAGGGUAGAGAAAAAUAAGUUAAGUUCAGCCCAUUUUGCAUUUUGGCUUGUAGUCUAAGAAACACUACAUAUAUUUAUGGCUUUAAGGGCUAUUGUCGUAACAUUUUCACAUGUUUAAUUGAGUUCCAUUUAGAUUCAAGUUUGCCAAAACACAUUUGUCAUCUUUUUUGCUGUAACAAGUCAUAGAAAAUAGUCUUUUGUACAGCACUAAAAGCUUAAAAUAUACAUUAUGCAAAGCCCAGAUAAAAAUGGAGAGAAAAUGCAAAUAAGCUCCUGAUUAUGAACCAGUGUCCUUCUAAUGAUCAGAAACACCUCAAACUCUUAAAGAAGAAAAAGUUGGCAAAAACUCUGAAUUAAUCAAUUCUUCAGGUUUUACAAAGCCCCUGAAAACGUGGCAUCAAAUCCUAGAUAUUGUUCUAUAAAAAGAAAGACUGAAUAGCAAAAGCCAUGCUAGACUACAUACCACCGGCAAGCCCCCCCCAAACCCCUCUUCAUAAAUCCAUGAACUACGUCCUUAGAUGGAAAAAGGAUAUCUGAUCUAGUUUGCAGUUUUAAUUUUCCUGAGAAAACAUAAUGAUUUCCAAUUCUGUUAUUAAAUUUUUUACAUACAUUUGUGAGUAUAUGUGAAGUGUUCACUGUUGCCCUUCCUUGCCAUGGUAAAGUUAAUCCCUUCUUAGGUCCCUGCCUUAAGCUUGGUUAAAAACUACCAGGCAAGCUGACAACAUAAUAUCUUACCUUUACCAUUAGCAUAAUCAGUUAUGAAAACGAUGAUAGGUUUUGUUACUGAACAACAGCAUAAAUCAGCUAUACUAAAUAGACCUUAAAAUUUAGUAUAUAUAUUGCUUUUCACAGAGAUUAAGGAGUAAAAUUUUCUUCUCACUCUACUUCAUUUGCACAAUGUAAACUGUAGAAGCAAUCUGUGAUGACGUACAAAUAUUGAGUUCCAUUCUGCUCGUUUGACACUGAGUGGGCAACUGACUUCACUGACUGAUAAAGUGCUUGUAUUACAUAUGAACCAGCUUCCAAUUAUACUAAUGGUAUUAGUACCGCAGCACCAGACAACCUCCAUCCUGAGAAAACGAUCUGAGGUAAUGUCACAGUCAUCUUUUUUAAUCCUCGGCAAUUCCAUUUAUUUAGACUUUUAUAUCUCUUUGACAUCAGAGAUUAUGGGGUGGGACAAACACGUAUUUCUUGUCUCUGGCUGCGGAGUAAAGAUUUGACAAUGCAAAGAGCAAACACUGAAAACAUUAAUGAGUGUGUACAAGUGCAGCCUGUGCACAGGUAGUUCAACAGCUUCUUCUAACAGAAAACACGUGUAGCAUUCAAAUGACAAGAACUUGACAUAAUUUUACCAGAGUGGUGUGAAUUAAUCAUUUGCACAGUCUCUGACUUUAGGUAAGAAAGGAAUUGUUCGACAAUGUAAAGACUGGGCUAUUGAUUGGAUACUAAAUGUGCUUUAUAACUUAAAAUUCUUUGUAUAAAUUAACCUCCUCUGAUGGGCUGAUUAGUUACAUAUCCUUGUAAUUAACAUAAUAUUAAUUAAUUAUCUUUUAAUUAAUAACCCUAUAGUAUCAUUACAGAGUUCUCUAUUCUUAAAUUGACUUCUGACUUGAUUAGAAACAGAAUUUCCUGGUUAAUUUUGCCAGUAACUGUCAUUUUAGGUGAUAACAGCAAGCGUUGUAUUGCACUUGAUGUAUUAUACUACAAUUCCAAGGCUAGCCACUGUGCCGUAUCAUAGUAGCAAAACAUGUUGAUUUAACAAAAUCUCUGAUUUAUUUUAGCAGUAGUUGGCCUUCUUGUUUUGUUAUUCCCUACAAUAUUUCUACCUUUAAUAGUGGUAAUUCUUAAUUUAGUUUCACUAGUUUAAUACUUUUGUUGUGUAGUAGUGGCAGCUGUCAUGAAUUUAUGAAAAAUAAUGUCUUAUUUUGUAGCCAUCUUAACCUUGUUAUGACAGUAUUUUUGGAAACUUGGACGCAAGAAGCAAAUAAUACAACUAGCUAUGAGUAGCCUCUCUUACUUUGCCACACAGGUGUCAGUCAUUUAACUUAAUAUAAUUUCAUUGUGGGUGCAAAGUUAUUGAUUGCAGCAACUUUUCAAAAAGACUAAUUUCAUGUGGAGUCUAUUUUUUUCUCCAUCAUCUUAAGUGGCUCACUCAUGCCCAUCUCAAAGCGCAAUUACUGAAGGGGCCUAAGAGUGAUCUUCAGUUGUUUUACCUGGAGGCUCAAUUAAAAGUUGGCAGUGUGUACUUUUUAAAUCGCUAGAGGAAACAUGGGUUUUCAACUAUGAUUAGAUAUAUAAUUAAAAUAGACAAACAGGUCACCCUGAGAUUAAAGUUCAUUAUAUCACAACUCCUGUCAGUUAACAAGUCAUUUAACAAGCAGAAAAGCCAAAAAAAUGACUGGUUUCUCCUUUUCAAGUGUUGACAUGUUUAUUUUGUAGUGUUACACUGCUAUAAAACUGGGCUUAAGCAAGCUGGAUAAAACAAGCAUAUAUAAUAUCUAUAUAUUUCGUGCAUGUGUGUAUGUAUUCUAUAUUUAACAUGACACUGGGGGAAAAACAAAACACUUGAUAGAUAAUAUCUAGUUAUCUUCAUUACUAUUAUGUUAUAGAGCUACAAAAUAAAACAAACGUCCCAUGUAAAAUGCAGGUUAAUACUUUCUAGCUUCAGUGUUCUAGCAUUUUCAUGCUACGACAUCCAGGUUUUUAGAUGUGCAGACAGUCGUAAUUAUUUUUUUGUGCUUUUUCAUCCUUAAGCAAACUACAGCAGGUAUUUUAUUUUGCAUCGCAGAAAGAAUGAGGAUGGCAAUUAAUGCUUGUUGUUGAGGAUAAGCUGUGGCUAUUAUCUCCUGCCAAGUGUAAAAUUAGUGCGAUUAUCAGCAAUAUUACCAUGGAAAUAUGGUUGGACGUGGAUAAUUUAAAGAUGGAAACCUAAAUGGGACUUUUUCAAUCAGUCUAUCUACACAUCCAGCAUUCAGCCUAAGAGGCAAGAAUUCACAACAUGUCAGCAAAGUUAAUUACCUCUCUGAAUGCCUCCCAGCAGAGAGUGGAAUAAUAGCAUCAGGGGAGAGAAUGACUUUUCUCCUGUUGUAUUGCUUUUAUUGUACAGCACAAUCUUUCUUAACCCCUAUUUCACUUUAAUUAGGCAUUUACCCAAGAGACAGAGGUUUUGAAAAACAUCUGUGUUCUUGCUAUCCCAAGGGCAAUAACCUUGCAGUGGGUGUUUCUUAUUCUCUCAUUGAUUACAAAGCGUGUUCAUCCAGAAUUGAUGACCUUAUUAUAUGGGGUGGUUUAUUGUGUCCUUGAGAAGAAACAUUUACCAUGAAGAUAAGUAAGCCUAAUUUUCCACAGCCACUAUUGAUGUGAUAUAGCACUUUUUAGGGCUUUGAAAUAUGACAGUUAUAUUUGACUGAUAUUUAAUGGAUUUCUUUUCAUUAACUGAAUUAACUGUAUGCGAGACUUCUGAAGCUAAGACUCGAAAAAUGGAGACUUAUUUUUUUAUCAUGAGGAAAAUAUAUGCAUCUAUAUUAUUAAAAGCACAAUAUAUGGAUUUAUAUGGUUGAAUUUAUUUUCAUUUCAACAAUUAUGACUUAUAUGAACCUUGUGAUAUGUGACAUGAAGCUUAUUAAACAUGUUGUCAAAGUUGCAAAAGUGACUGUAACUACUUAACAGAGUUCAUCUUGAUGUUUAAAUAAUAGCUGAAGAUUUCUUGUUUACUUUCUCAUGAAAAAAUAUGAUCUAUAGUUAUUUGCUCAGUUUUGAAAGUUGUAUUUUAUGUCAGACAUUCAGAUUUCUGUGUAAAUAUUUCAUUAUAAUAAUGUGUUAUCAUAUUGUGAUUUUGUUAGUUCACUUUUUUUUUUAAUGUUAUAGCCAUUUGUGUGCAAAUGAAUACUAUGUUGAGGUCCUUGCCUCCUCGGUCAUAUUUUAACAAACAAUCCUGAACCAUUUCACUGUUUGCCAUUUACUGGACAAAAGGUGUUCACACACAUUGAAUAGACUCUCCCACAGCAGGAGAGUAAAAGUGAAUUCUUAAACUGAUUUGCAUUCUCUUUUGCUCAUUUUGAAUGAUUUGUAUGCAUAAAUGCUUUCAAAAUCAAUUGAACUUUGUUGAUCCAAACCUUUUGAAGAAUUUGGCUUUCUGGGAGAACUAUGACUGGCAUAGAAAUUAAACCCAAAGUAUAUUCCCAAACUAUAAAACAAGUGGAAGUACUUGUUGAGAAAGUUGAGCUUUUUAGUUUAACUUUUGGAAUUUUAGUGUUUAAAGUUUAGAGCUUUCGGUUUGUAAGCCUCAGAUGACAUGACUCAUGUUUUCAUCUGCUUCUUUCCAUCUCAUCUGGAGUUGAUCAUCAUAGAUCACUAAUGAAGACGAUCUAAAGUCAAAAUACCUAUACAUAUCUUACUCUAUCUAUAAAUAAAGCACAUAAAAAAUUUGCAGAUACCUUUCGACUGAACUUCGUUUCAGUUACAAUUUAAGAAAUAUUGUUAUUUUCAUCUACAGUCAUUUAUAUUUAUUGGUAUGACUCUGUACUGGGACCACCCUAUCAUGCUUUAUGGUUUCUUCAGGUAAAGGUUAAAAAAAAUAAAUAAAAGAUGGUAAUCUGUUGCAAA
ensembl:lncRNA